AGCAACCAAGAGUUUUAUCAUCUGAAAUUUCUGCAAGUUCCAGCCAAGAACAUCUUCCUUCCAUUUCUUUUAUAGCUCACGCCUCUAUCUUUUUGCUUUGAUGCUUCAAUUCACACCAUUGGGAAGGAGACUAAGUCAGGAUUUAUUGAAGUUCAAAAGCAAACAAAGGUUGAGUUUGGAGGUAAUAACAAAGAUGAAGCUACAGAGAAGGACACUACUCAAGAAGGAGAGACAGAUGCUUAGUAGCCUUGGGUUGGGUCUUGUUAAUGAAGUUUUAGUUUUGGUUGCUUUUGUGAAACUGUUUGGACUAUGUAUUUUGAGAAAGCAAGCAUUUUGUAAAUAGGGUAGAUGUUCAUACUAUGAAAUUAGUUCUGGUUUUUAAUAUGUAACUAAUGGGACAGUCUUAUAUUUUGAUAAACAUCUUAUUUUGAGUUUUGAAAUUAUGAGAAAAGAAACAAAAUGAGUCCCUUUUAUAAA